rnacentral:rRNA from 1 species
UGAACGCUGGCGGCAGGCCUCACACAUGCAAGUCGAGCGGAUGAAGGGAGCUUGCUCCUGGAUUCAGCGGCGGACGGGUGAGUAAUGCCUAGGAAUCUGCCUGGUAGUGGGGGAUAACGUCCGGAAACGGGCGCUAAUACCGCAUACGUCCUGAGGGAGAAAGUGGGGGAUCUUCGGACCUCACGCUAUCAGAUGAGCCUAGGUCGGAUUAGCUAGUUGGUGGGGUAAAGGCCUACCAAGGCGACGAUCCGUAACUGGUCUGAGAGGAUGAUCAGUCACACUGGAACUGAGACACGGUCCAGACUCCUACGGGAGGCAGCAGUGGGGAAUAUUGGACAAUGGGCGAAAGCCUGAUCCAGCCAUGCCGCGUGUGUGAAGAAGGUCUUCGGAUUGUAAAGCACUUUAAGUUGGGAGGAAGGGCAGUAAGUUAAUACCUUGCUGUUUUGACGUUACCAACAGAAUAAGCACCGGCUAACUUCGUG